rnacentral:rRNA from 1 species
GAUGAACGCUGGCGGCGUGCCUAAUACAUGCAAGUCGAGCGAACGGACGAGAAGCUUGCUUCUCUGAUGUUAGCGGCGGACGGGUGAGUAACACGUGGAUAACCUACCUAUAAGACUGGGAUAACUUCGGGAAACCGGAGCUAAUACCGGAUAAUAUUUUGAACCGCAUGGUUCAAAAGUGAAAGACGGUCUUGCUGUCACUUAUAGAUGGAUCCGCGCUGCAUUAGCUAGUUGGUAAGGUAACGGCUUACCAAGGCAACGAUGCAUAGCCGACCUGAGAGGGUGAUCGGCCACACUGGAACUGAGACACGGUCCAGACUCCUACGGGAGGCAGCAGUAGGGAAUCUUCCGCAAUGGGCGAAAGCCUGACGGAGCAACGCCGCGUGAGUGAUGAAGGUCUUCGGAUCGUAAAACUCUGUUAUUAGGGAAGAACAUAUGUGUAAGUAACUGUGCACAUCUUGACGGUACCUAAUCAGAAAGCCACGGCUAACUACGUGCCAGCAGCCGCGGUAAUACGUAGGUGGCAAGCGUUAUCCGGAAUUAUUGGGCGUAAAGCGCGCGUAGGCGGUUUUUUAAGUCUGAUGUGAAAGCCCACGGCUCAACCGUGGAGGGUCAUUGGAAACUGGAAAACUUGAGUGCAGAAGAGGAAAGUGGAGUUCCAUGUGUAGCGGUGAAAUGCGCAGAGAUAUGGAGGAACACCAGUGGCGAAGGCGACUUUCUGGUCUGUAACUGACGCUGAUGUGCGAAAGCGUGGGGAUCAAACAGGAUUAGAUACCCUGGUAGUCCACGCCGUAAACGAUGAGUGCUAAGUGUUAGGGGGUUUCCGCCCCUUAGUGCUGCAGCUAACGCAUUAAGCACUCCGCCUGGGGAGUACGACCGCAAGGUUGAAACUCAAAGGAAUUGACGGGGACCCGCACAAGCGGUGGAGCAUGUGGUUUAAUUCGAAGCAACGCGAAGAACCUUACCAAAUCUUGACAUCCUUUGACAACUCUAGAGAUAGAGCCUCCCCCUUCGGGGGACAAAGUGACAGGUGGUGCAUGGUUGUCGUCAGCUCGUGUCGUGAGAUGUUGGGUUAAGUCCCGCAACGAGCGCAACCCUUAAGCUUAGUUGCCAUCAUUAAGUUGGGCACUCUAAGUUGACUGCCGGUGACAAACCGGAGGAAGGUGGGGAUGACGUCAAAUCAUCAUGCCCCUUAUGAUUUGGGCUACACACGUGCUACAAUGGACAAUACAAAGGGCAGCGAAACCGCGAGGUCAAGCAAAUCCCAUAAAGUUGUUCUCAGUUCGGAUUGUAGUCUGCAACUCGACUACAUGAAGCUGGAAUCGCUAGUAAUCGUAGAUCAGCAUGCUACGGUGAAUACGUUCCCGGGUCU